ACGUCCAUACCAUGCUGAAUAUGCCGGUUCUCGUUAGAUCACCGAAGUCAAGCAUCAUUGGGCGCGGUCAGUACUUGGGCAGGGUACCUGGAACAGUACCUGGGAACACCGCGUGGCGU